CUACAGGACCUUCUAUAUCGGUAGCCAGAGGGUCUGUCAUUUUUUGUAAAUGUUCAUUUUAUUUGUUUGUUUUUACACACAUGGACAUCACAACCAACCAUCAUCAAGGUUAUUAUACUUAUUAAUGGGGUGAAUUCUCCUACCUUGAGUCCAGCAUUCACGGGAUAGGUUCCUGAUCCACCAAGACCCUUUCCAGGAUAAAGUUACUGAAAAUGAAUGAUGGAAAUGUCAAUGGUAAAAUGUAUCAAUGUUCACGCUCUCAGAAGACCUGACCAGCCCUUGGCAGAGAGUGCUUUACCUUGGGUCUGAGCCUGAUCUGGUCAAUUUCAGCAUGUGUCAGCACUGUUCUUGAAACUUCACAUGGGUGCUGCAUGAACACACUCCUGACCUGCAAAGCAUGACCUUUUGAUUAAAAUGUACGUGUACAUUCUCAGUUUUCUGAAACUUUACAGCUGCAUCAGAGAUCUUGUGGUAACAUUAAAAUCUCUAUCCUAUUUCUGUGUUGUUAAUAGAUUCUGUCUC
ensembl:lncRNA